rnacentral:tRNA from 1 species
GGGCGCUUAGCUCAGCUGGUAGAGCGCUUGCCUUACAAGCAAGAUGUCGGCGGUUCAAACCCGUCAGCGCCCA